rnacentral:rRNA from 1 species
UACGAAGGGGGCGAGCGUUGUUCGGAAUUACUGGGCGUAAAGGGCGCGCAGGCGGCGAGUUUUGUCAGGCGUGAAAGCCCCGGGCUCAACCUGGGAACUGCGCUUGAAACGGGCUUGCUGGAGACCGGGAGAGGAGAGUGGAAUUCCCAGUGUAGAGGUGAAAUUCGUAGAUAUUGGGAAGAACACCGGUGGCGAAGGCGGCUCUCUGGACCGGAUCUGACGCUGAGGCGCGAAAGCGUGGGGAG